rnacentral:lncRNA from 1 species
UUCUAAAAGAAAUCCUGAAAGAAAAAGUCACCUUCAUUCAAGAGAAAUUCAUGGAAUAGGACCCUGACAAGUACUCUUGAAUACAGGUUUCUGAUAACUUUGGAGAUCAUAUCACUGGACUAAGUAACAACUUUCAGGUAUGUAAUAAACUGAUGUGUUCCUUAGAUUGCUAACUCAACAUCAAGCAGAACAAGAAUUAAUUACAUGUGACUGAACUGACAGAAGACUGAAAUGAUUUGCUGACUUUUUAUUUAAAACAUUGCUGGGUGUUUUUUUUAUUUUGUCUUCCAGAGUCAAGAAAACUUUUUUUCCUUGAGCUAUUUAUUUAUACUUUAUAACAAUUGGGUAAAAAUACCUUUGUGAGCAACACUGAAACAUCUGCCUUUCUCUCUAACUGAUUACUCCAAAAUUUGGAAACUAUUCAUGAGUACUCUUAUUUUAUGGCAAUCUAGUUAUUU